CCGCCAUCUUUGCUGUUUGGAAAACGGCCAUUCCAGCCUGCGAGCUUUGGAGAGACCAAGCCCCCUGAGGCAGAGGCCGCGCCUCAGCAUGUUACAGCUGUUUUGUUGAGGUGUGGUGAGGUUGCUUCUUUAAAUGCGACCCUGAUACAUUCCUCCUCCCUGGGCAGGUCCUUCCCUCUGGAGCCUCCAGCCACCCCUGCCUGUGUUCUGUUGCGGAAAGACUUCUAAUUUCUCCUUGGGGCAGAGUGCCUGCGGAGUGGGGCGGGCCGCCGCCUUGGCUGUUUGUGAAGCGGCAUCGUUGUCUGGGGUAUGAUUUAAUACACUUUACCGACCUGAAUUCAUUGGAUAUAUGUAAAAAUGAAGGAAUGCACGUUAUUCUGCUUGAUGCUCUGCAGAGAGGAGCUGCCUGAGAGGUUGCACCUGCAGUCCUGGAUGCACUGGCCCCAGGGGUGGUUGGUGCUGACUCCACAUUUGUCUAAUAAGAUGUCCAGAUACAAAAAUGUCUGUGAUGUGGGAACCGUUACAGAUCUAGGAGAGUUUUUUCAACAGCAAAAAAAGCAAAGCCUGUUUCUGUCAAAGUCUUUUAUUUUAUUUUUGAAUUUGACCUUUUAAAAUAAGAUUAAAACAUUCCAUCAAGACUCCCUUU
rnacentral:lncRNA from 1 species